rnacentral:rRNA from 1 species
UAGGGAAUCUUCGGCAAUGGACGAAAGUCUGACCGAGCAACGCCGCGUGAGUGAAGAAGGUUUUCGGAUCGUAAAACUCUGUUGUUAGAGAAGAACAAGGACGUUAGUAACUGAACGUCCCCUGACGGUAUCUAACCAGAAAGCCACGGCUAACUACGUGCCAGCAGCCGCGGUAAUACGUAGGUGGCAAGCGUUGUCCGGAUUUAUUGGGCGUAAAGCGAGCGCAGGCGGUUUCUUAAGUCUGAUGUGAAAGCCCCCGGCUCAACCGGGGAGGGUCAUUGGAAACUGGGUGACUUGAGUGCAGAAGAGGAGAGUGGAAUUCCAUGUGUAGCGGUGAAAUGCGUAGAUAUAUAGAGGAACACCAGUAGCGAAGGCGGCUCUCUGGUCUGUAACUGACGCUGUGGCUCGAAAGCGUGGGGAGCAAACAGG